AGUAAAGUGUAGAAUCAAUUGAUCUACUAUAGUUGCAUGAUUUUCAUAUCGCAUAUUGUGAGGCAUCGCAUGUAUUUCAAUUUGAAUAUAUAUAUCUGUUGUAUAUUGUUGAACUAACAUGUUACAGUGCCUCCUCAGACCUAUUGGUCGAGCUUUUACCUUGGUUGGCCGUACCCACUGGAAACUAUGGAGUUGGUUCUCACCCCACAUUGUUUUGGGGUGUUUCAGGUUCGCACGUGAGUGGCGCGGCGGCGCAAGGCAAAGGCGUAGCUUCGUAGAUAGUGCCCUACCGUAGAGACUGAGAUAGUAGUACCCCGAGUCAGCAGGGCCUAGGGGUUAGAAUGGAAUAACAACAACCAACUUGUAUUAAAUGUAAUAAUGUGAUUGCAUUUGGAUGUUAAGCAAAUGUAAAAGAAAAAUGUGAUGUAUAAAGUGUAUGAAGUGAAUGCUUGUAUUAGCAGUUAGUUUUAUGUUAUUGAUACUUUCUUAUGCAAUCUUAAUUGAGAUCAGUUCCUGGUUGGAACCUUCGUUUUGUAUUGAUUGCGACGCCUAGGACGUACAGGAAAAACUCUGUCUGUUCGGCAGUCUGUCGGCGGCGCCGCGACCCAGCCAAAUAGGCGGGUGGUCGCGGGCCGUGACAGCUAAGGUGAGUUUUAUGCAAGAUUGGGUCUAGGGUUUAGAUUUAUACCCUAAGUUUUUAGGAUUUGAACUUCUUGCAAGGCUAGAAACUAGCUUGAGGCCAUGAAAUACGUGAAACUCAUGUGUUUCUCAUGAGCUCUCAUGGUGAAUCUCUAGGGUUAGCUUUUGAUGCCCUAUGAAUGGUUGGAAUGGUUUAGGAAUGGUGUUAGAGAGCUCCUUGGGUGGUUUUAAGCUUGAUUUUGCUUAGCUACAAGAUCAAUCCCAAGAUAUUUGACAUAUGGAAUUGUUAGGGCACCAAAUUUGAGACUUUUGCCCUAGGAUAUUUUGAAGACAAAUUGACUUUGUAGAAACCUCAUUAGAGGUAUUCCCGACGCAAUGGAAAACCCGGUUCGACGAAACGAAAAUGUUUAGAUAAAGAUAUUGUAUAAAAAGCCUAAUUUGGCUUAUUUUGGUACAGAUAGUCGCAGCAUGCGGAUUAGGAGCCUAAAAAGUCCGAGAAUUGAACCGUAGUAUCCCUACAACCAUCUAAGGUGGGUGGUGCUAUCCGAAAUCGGUAAAAAUUUUUUUAUGUCUAAAAGUGUCGUUUUGUUGAGCAUAUGUGAAUUUUGAGCAAUUUGCAUAAUAGGGUUAAUUGAGAGCUUUUGUUGUAUGUUAUGAGUAUUGAUGCAUGUGAAAUGAGAGUAAAGAAUGAAAACUUGUAAACCGUAUGUAUGCAUGAAAAGUGAUAAGAACCUAGAUGAGGUAAAGAAUAAAAAUGACAUAGUGACAUGUGAAUUGGGUGGCAUUAGUGAAUGUCAUGUAUGCAAAUGAACACUAGAGUGUGUGGCAUUAGUAAAUGACAAGAAUGCUAGAGUUGAAUACUUAGAGAACAAGUAUGGCAUUAGUGAAUGAUUAUAAAGAACAAGUUAGUGUAUAUGACACUAGUGUAAGUUAAAGAAUGCAAGCAAAGAACAAUAAUGACAUUGUGACAUAGAAACCUUAAAGAGACGGGUCACUUGAGCAUUGGUAUCCUUAAAGUUAAGGAUUGAUCAUACUCGCCUAUAGUUUUAGCUUGAGGGAUGUCGCUCCCCCUCGAGCAGUGAGCUCCGGAGUUGUCACCACUGGGAAGGGGAAUCCCCAGAGGACGGUCCCAACGGGAGCCUGAGGGCCUAAAAAUUAGGAUUUUGAGUUGGUGAGUUAUGAAACCCUACGGGAGGAAGCUGAAUGCCUAACAGGCUGAGGGCCCAACGGGUUAGCCACAAGAUUGUGUAAAGAAAAUGUGAACUUGCAUUCAUCAUGAGCAUCUCAUUGAGCAUAUGAUUGAGUUUAUUAUUCAGGCAUAUUAGCUGCAUUUGUUAGUCGGUUACUAUUUUUCCUUUCUUCUAUUAUGCCUAAUUUAGACCUAGUGGGAAAGUCGGUGAGAUCGGGGCUGAACCUACUGAAAACUUUGUUGUAGUUCUCACCCCACUAUUUUCGCAGAGCCGGGACCGAGCGAACCGGCGGAUAAUCGUUGUAAAGGUAUCGCGCUAUAGUUAGAGACCACCCCAGUUGGUUUCACAUUUUGGUUUACUUGCAUACCCUUUAGUUAUCAUCUUUUGUAUUUUGAUAAUUUUAGCAUUAUGAACAUGUUAAAUGAAUGAUGCAAAAAGGGUUUAUGUUUCAAUGCAAAGCUUAUAUUUUGAGAUAUCAUGUGAUGUAAAAGAGAAGAAAUAAUGGUAAAGAAAAGAAUGCAAAUGUACAAGUUGUAUGCAUGUAUGUGAUUUAAAUUUAAUCAUAGUACUUGUAUGUUGAUUAGUUAGCACUUUCACUUUGGCUAUUGCUUGCCCUCGUGCAAGCCAUUAUGUUUGCUUCCGCAUGUACAAAUUUUAUACUCUAUUUGUACUGUUGUCGAGCCUUGGGCGGACAGGGGAGGCUCUGUCCGUUCGGUGUCUGUUCGAUGGGUCCGAACCGGCCAAAUAGGACUGGGUUCGGGGCGUGACAUUUGGUUUUGUAGGUUUUGAAUUUUUAUGGUGUGUGGUGGGCUGCAUUUGAUUUAGGUUUUAUGGGUUUAGGUUUUGUAGGUUUUGGAUUUUUAUGGUGGGGUGCAUUUGAUUUGGAUUUUAUGGAUUUAGGUUUUGUAGGUUUUGGGUUUUUAUGGUGGGGUGCAUUUGAUUUGGGUUUUAUGAGUUUAGGUUUUGUAGGUUUCGGAUUUUUAUGUUGGGUUGCAAUUGAUUUGGGUUCUAUGGGUUUAGGUUUUGUAGGUUUCGGGUUUUUAUGGUGGGUUGCAUUUGAUUUGGGUUUUAUGGGUUUAGGUUUUGUAGGUUUUGAAGUUUUAUGGUGGGCUGCAUUUGGGUUUGUAUUUUUGGACUAGAUUGGUUGUGGACUGUGUUGUAUUUAUUUUUGUUUGGAAUUGAAGUUUAGGGUCUGAAGAAAUAUCUCUCUUUUUUAUUUUGUAAUUUCAAUUUGGGGUCCGAAGAAAUUCCCUUUUGAUUUAUUGCAAUUUUGAUUUGGGGUUCGAAAAAAUUCUCUUUUUUUCAAAUUGCAAUUUGGAUUUGGAGUCCGAAGAAAUUUUCGUUUUAAUUUUGCAAUUUUGAUUUGGGGUUCGAAGAAAUCCCCUUUUGAUUUAUUGCAAUUUUUAUUUGGGGUCGAAAGAAAUCCCCUUUUGAUUUAUUGCAAUUUUGAUUUGGGGUCCGAAGAAAUCCCCUUUUUAUUUAUUAGAAUUUUGAUUUGGGGUCCGAAAAAUUUUCUUUUGAUUUAUUGCAAUUUUGAUUUGGUGUCCGAAAAAAUUCUCUUAUUUUCAAAUUGCAAUUUGGAUUUGGGGUCCGAAGAAAUCCCCUUAUUUUCAAAUUGCAAUUUGGAUUUGGGGUCUGAAGAAAUUUUCUUUGUAAUUUUUCAAUUUUGAUUUUAAUUGAACCAAAAUUCAGAUGUCCAAAGAAAUCAUCUGAACCGGUUUGGGAUUUUUGUGGUUUAAUUCGAUGUUCUCGAAAGGGAUUGAAGGGUCCGAAGAAACGGGGAUCAUUGAUUCUCCUCCCCUCUUCUUUCGAAAAUGCCAAACCGGCGAGGUUGGAGAUGACUGCGGUGUAGAUGAUGACGGUGGCAUAAGUCGUAACGGCUAGUAGACUUGGUUCGACAUUCUCGAAAGAGGUUGAAGGGUCUAAAGAAACGGGGAAUCAUUGAUUCCCCUUCCCUCUUCUUUUGAAAACGCCAAACUGGUGAGGUUGGAGAUGACUGCGGUGUAGAUGAUGACUGUGGCAUAAGUCGUGAUGGCCGGUGGACUUAGUUUGACAUUUUCGAAAGAGGUUGAAGGGUCAGAAGAAAUGAGAAAUCAUUGAUUCCCCUCCCAUCUUCUUUCGAAAACGCCGAACCGGCGAGAUUUGAGAUGACUGCGGUGUAGAUGACGACGAUGGCAUAAGUCGUAACGGUCGAUGGAUUUGGUUUGACAUUCUCGAAAGAGGUUGAAGGGUUUGAAGAAACGGGGAAUCAUUGAUUUCUCUCCCCUUUUCUUUCGAAAAUGCCAAACUGGCGAGGUUGGAGGAGGUCGCGACAAUGUAAAUCACCCAUCCCAUCAAUUAACGGUUUCAAAUGGGGUAUAGAGAGGUCCGAAGAAAUGAGGAGCCAUUGGCUCCCCUUCCCUCUCCCAUCGAAGUCGUCUAAAUGGCAUAGGUGACGACGGCAGCAGGACCUAAAAAAAAGGAAGAAAAAGAAAAAAGAGAAAAAGAUUUUUCUUUCUUUUUUUUGAUAUGUAUUAUUAUUAUUUCUUUUUUUAUUUUUUAUUUUUUUAUUUUUUUAUAUUUUUUUUUACCUGAUGAUCAAACGGUGGAAGUAGAAUGACAGGCUGGAUGAAGCUGCACGGUGGUGCGGUCGAAGAUCUCUCAUUCUUUGAAAUUUUUUUUUGGUAUGUAGGAACGUGUGUAGUAAGGGUGGAAAUGCUAUUAUCUCUCCUCUUUGUAUCGUAGUCUCUCUCCGUAUCACUAUUCUCUCUCUCUUUAUCUCUUAUCCUUCUUUUUAUCUUCAUAUUUAUAGUAGAAUAGGAAAAUCUGAGGAAUCGAUGAGUGGGUUGAGAUUUUUUCUGAGAGCGACGUGAAUGGGGUUAGGCGAGAGAUAUUUUGAGGAGUUGGUUAGGGAUUCAAAAUUUGAAAUUGAAUUUUGAAUUUGUUGUUGGAGGGAUAGAUAUUUUCUAGUCGGUUGGGAGUUUUACAAAUUCGAAAUUCGAAUGAAUGUGGGUUGUUAAGAGAUAUUUUGGGAGUUGGUUGAGGAUUUGAAAUCAAAUUUUGAAUGGGAAAAGAUAUGUAAUGAGGUUAUUAGGAUAAGAGAUUUUUUCUAAUUGAAUAUUAAAUUUUAGGAUGUGGGUAUGGACCGUCAUUGAUUGGGCCCACUUUGAUGGAGUUUUUUGGGCACAAAUAAUAAUAUUCGUUGGGCUGAAGCGAGGCCCGAAUUAUUACAUAGGCUUAAAAAUUCAACGGGCUUUCAUGAAACCCACCAAUUCGUAUUCAUAAAUGAGCCUAUUGAAUGGAUUUAAAUUAUUAUUAUUCGUCCCAAAAUUUUUUGGUUAACAUGAGACCUACUAGGAUUGUAUAAGUCUGAAUUUAAUUGGCUGUGAUUAUGAUUAGGAUUGCUUUAUCCUAUAUAUAUAUAUAUAUAGUAUAAAUGUUUAUCUUUUUUACUUCAAACAAUAGGAUAUAGUUACAAAGUUACUGGGAACACGUGUACUAAAUUUUAUUACAGCCACAGUGGCACACAUAUGGUCUCUAGAACUAUUAAAGCGAAAAUAGGUACAGCUAUAAAGGCAUAAUGAACAUAUAUACUUAAUUAAUGUGGUUAGGACUAUAAUGAUGGGUUAUCUAUAUAUUAGGAAUAAGGGUAUUUUCGUCCGAUGGCAAAAAAAUCUGGUCCGAAUCUGUAAAAUAAAAAAAUAUGGCCCAAUUUUGCAAUAGCUCAAAAUUUAUAAAUUUUUUAUGCAAAUUGGUCAUUGUAGAUAUAGAUUUUUUUGUUUUUUCUGCUAGAAAUGAAAAGAGUGUAC
rnacentral:lncRNA from 1 species